rnacentral:lncRNA from 1 species
AAUGUUGAGGAAGUAAUUGUUCCGAGUAUGAUUGAGAAACUGCCAGAUCUUGGAGAUAACAAAUCAAAAUUACCUGUUGUUGAGGCAAGAUCUCUGGAGGAUUUAGACAAAUCUAUUCAACAACUUGCGAAACCUAAUCCAGCAUAUUCUUCAGGCUCAGGCUCAAAGAAUGAAUCAUCAAAAGAUGCGAAGACCGAGACUAAUGUGGUGCUGCCAGUUCUUGAAGCAAGAUCAGCCGAAGAUAUUGAUUUGGCUUUUAAGCAACUUCAUGACGGAGUGGACAUUGAGGAAGUAAUUGUUCCGAGUAUGAUUGAGAAACUGCCAGACCAUGGAGAUAACAAAUCAAAAUUACGUGUUGUCGAGGCAAGAUCUCUGGAGGACAUAGACAAAGCUAUUCAACAACUUCCGAAAUCUAAUCCAGCUGAGCUGCCACAUUCUUCAGUUUCAAGGAAUGAACCAUCAAAAGAUAUGAAGACUGAGACUAAUGUGGUGCUGCCAGUUCUUGAAGCAAGAUCAGCAGAAGAUAUUGAUUUGGC